AUGAACGUUGGCGGCGUGCCUAACACAUGCCCGUCGAGCGGCAGCGAGGGGUGCUUGCACCCUGUCGGCGAGCGGCGGACGGCUGAGUAACGCGUGGGAACGUGCCCCAAAGUGAGGAAUAACUGCCCGAAAGGGUAGCUAAUACCGCAUAUUAUCUUCGGAUCAAAGGAUUUAUCCGCUUUGGGAGCGGCUCGCGUCGGAUUAGGUAGUUGGUGAGGUAAUGGCUCACCAAGCCGACGAUCCGUAGCUGGUCUGAGAGGAUGACCAGCCAGACUGGAACUGAGACACGGUCCAGACUCCUACGGGAGGCAGCAGUGAGGAAUCUUCCACAAUGGGCGAAAGCCUGAUGGAGCAACGCCGCGUGCAGGACGAAGGCCUUCGGGUUGUAAACUGCUUUUAUAAGUGAGGAAUAUGACGGUAACUUAUGAAUAAGGAUCGGCUAACUACGUG
rnacentral:rRNA from 1 species